rnacentral:lncRNA from 10 species
GAAACUUUCAUUGCUGUUUCUUCUCUGGGGCUUGGACUGAGCUGGACCCCUGCGCCAGGGGAGGGGAAGACUCCGUGGAAACUUGGACCCCCAAUGAGGACCUUCACCAAAGGGAUUCACGGGCACAGAUAAGGGCGAAGUGAAGAUGAACUUUAACUAUUGUCUUUUUCUCUAAAUUUCUUCCUGAGGGAAUUGGAGAAAUCACUCCUCACCCCCAGGCAGUUAAUGUUUUUCUACUGACCCCAAAUUUUUAAACAAAACUUCUCUUCCUUAACUAAUUGCAAAUCAGCAAAUCUUAGAAUCUGUCUACGACCUGUAAGCACCACCAUCCCUGCUUCAAGAUAUCCUGCCCUUUUAGGCCUAAACCAGUGUGUAAUCUCCAUGUACUGAUUUACUAUUUUGCCUGUAGCUUCUGCUUUCCUAAAACUUAUAACUGCCUUUAAAAACACUUGCCUGCAAGCCAUUGGGAAGGUUAGGAUUUGAGCACUUAGCUGCCUGGUCCUCCUUGCUGGGUUCCUUGCAAUAAAUGCCUUUCCUUCUUUUGCUGCAAAACUCCAUACAGAUACCUGGUUUUACUGUGCUAAGCAAGUGGACCCCCGUUAUGUUCUAUAAUAUAACAAUUGUAUUUCAGUUAUGCUGUGAUAAGUAUGUUCACAAAUUAUUGGAAUGCAUGACUGUUCUUGAAGACUAGAGAGAAUUUCAAUAGGAAGGAAUGAGUAGGAAGGAUGUCCCUGCUAGAAAUGGCUAUUUGGAUGACUAAUAAAACUAUAUGGAAUGAAAAGGAG